AUGAAUCAAGAGAGCAAGAACUUGUUUAGGGUCCAUGUUUCUCUUGGGACAAGGACACGAAGAAGGCCUUCUCUGGAUAGGAUCUAUGCAUCAAGUACAGGUUGGUGUCCAAGACAACGAGGGAGACUGGUGGUGAGAUACAUCACAGUGCACAACAAUAGCCCAUUGCACCACAUGUGUCUUGCUCAUUUGACCGUAGACUCUCCAGGGAUCACAGCUUCUCUGAGGUUUGCCCAGUCCCAUGAGGUAAGGCUUACUGAGCUCAAUGAAUCUUACAACAAGGUAAGUAUAUGUUGGGUUGCUGCCAGGACUCUGUUCUUCGUGGGAAUCCGAAUUCCAUUGGCCAAGAAGGUAUGCUUCAGAUUUAAUUAACUUUGAGUUGAA
rnacentral:lncRNA from 1 species